AUUGAACGCUGGCGGCAGGCCUAACACAUGCAAGUCGAGCGAGCGGCGGACGGGAGAGUAAUGUAUGGGGACUGCCCGAUAGAGGGGGAUAACUACUGGAAACGGUGGCUAAUACCGCAUACUAUCGGAUAACCCAUAUGGGAUUAGCUAGUAGGUGGGGUAAAGGCUCACGUAGGCGACGAUCUCUAGCGGGUCUGAGAGGAUGAUAAGUCACUCAGGGACUAGGACACGGCCCUUGCUCGUACGGAGGCAGCAGUGGGGACUAUUGCACAAUGGGAGAAAGCCUGAUGCAGCCAUGCCGCGUGUAUGAAGAAGGCCUUAGGGUUGUAAAGUACUUUCAGCGGGGAGGCGUUACCCGCAGAAGAAGCACCGGCUAACUUCGUGCCAGCAGCGGCGGUAAUUC
rnacentral:rRNA from 1 species